rnacentral:rRNA from 1 species
GUGACGGAGUAGUGAAAGUCCCGCGUACUGACGGAAUAGUACGUUGAAGGGUGUAGGUAUAGAGACAGUAGGAAAAUCCGCUGACUUUGCUGAACCUGAUAGUACCACAAUGCUACGGCAGCGUGGAUAGUGUGCCUAAUCAGACUUCCAAGAAAAACUUCUAAGGUUAGGAUAAAGGUGCCUGUACCGUAAACCGACACAGGUAGUCAAGGAGAGAAUCCUGAGGUGCUCGAGUGAAUCAUGGCUAAGGAACUAGGCAAAAUGGCCCUGUAACUUCGGGAGAAGGGGCCCCUGACGUAAAACUCAGGGCGCAGUGAAAAGGCCCAGGCGACUGUUUACCAAAAACACAUGGCUUUGCGAAAUUGAAAGAUGAUGUAUAAGGCCUGACACCUGCCCGGUGCUGGAAGGUUAAGGGGGGAUGUUAGCUUCGGCGAAGCAUUGAACUGAAGCCCCAGUAAACGGCGGCCGUAACUAUAACGGUCCUAAGGUAGCGAAAUUCCUUGUCGGGUAAGUUCCGACCCGCACGAAAGGCGUAAUGAUUUGGAUACUGUCUCAGAGAGGGGCUCGGUGAAAUAGACUUGUCUGUGAAGAUGCGGACUACCUGCACCUGGACAGAAAGACCCUAUGAAGCUUUACUGUAACUUGAAAUUGAAAUUGGACUUUAUUUGUGCAGUAUAGGUGGGAGGCAACGAAGUUAUUCUUGCGGGAAUAAUUGAGCCAUAAGUGAGAUACCACUCCUAUAAUGUUAGAUUUCUAACUUUUACCAUUAUCUGGUCAAAGAACAGUUUCAGGUGGGCAGUUUGACUGGGGCGGUCGCCUCCCAAAUGGUAACGGAGGCGCACAAAGGUUUCCUCUGAACGGGUAGAAAUCGUAUCUAGAGUGUAAAGGCAUAAGGAAGCUUGACUGUGAGACUUACAAGUCGAGCAGGGACGAAAGUCGGUCUUAGUGAUCUGACGGUGCUGAGUGGAAAGGCCGUCACUCA